rnacentral:rRNA from 1 species
CAGCCGCCGCGGUAACACGAAGGGUGCAAGCGUUAAUCGGAAUUACUGGGCGUAAAACGUGCGUAGGCGGUUUGUUAAGUCUGUUGUGAAAUCCCCGGGCUCAACCUGGGAAUGGCAAUGGAUACUGGCAAGCUAGAGUGUGUCAGAGGAUGGUGGAAUUCCCGGUGUAGCGGUGAAAUGCGUAGAGAUCGGGAGGAACAUCAGUGGCGAAGGCGGCCAUCUGGGACAACACUGACGCUGAGGCAUGAAAGCGUGGGGAGCAAACAGGAUUAGAUACCCCAGUAGUCCCUGUCUCUUAUAA